rnacentral:rRNA from 1 species
UACGAAGGGGGCUAGCGUUGCUCGGAAUCACUGGGCGUAAAGCGCACGUAGGCGGUUUGUUAAGUCAGGGGUGAAAUCCUGGAGCUCAACUCCAGAACUGCCUUUGAUACUGGCGAUCUUGAGUCCGGGAGAGGUGAGUGGAACUGCGAGUGUAGAGGUGAAAUUCGUAGAUAUUCGCAAGAACACCAGUGGCGAAGGCGGCUCACUGGCCCGGUACUGACGCUGAGGUGCGAAAGCUAGGGGAGCAAACGGG